UACGGAGGGGGCUAGCGUUGUUCGGAAUUACUGGGCGUAAAGCGCACGUAGGCGGCUUUGUAAGUUAGAGGUGAAAGCCCAGGGCUUAACCCUGGAAUUGCCUUUAAGACUGCAUCGCUAGAAUCGUGGAGAGGUGAGUGGAAUUCCGAGUGUAGAGGUGAAAUUCGUAGAUAUUGGGAAGAACAUCGGUGGCGAAGGCGGCUCUCUGGACCGAUACUGACGCUGAGGCGGCGAAAGCGUGGGGAGCAAACACGG
rnacentral:rRNA from 1 species